UUUAUAUAGUUUGUUUAAAGAGUUUAGUAUGAAAAAAAGUUAAAACAAUUAUUAUUGUCCAGGUCAUAUUUGAUAACUGUUGUUAAUUGAUAACAUAUUACAGGGACACAGUAAAAAGACAAAACAUUUAGACCCUUUGAAAGAGAAAUGUUUGCAAUGGAUAUUAAUAAAUUCUAGCCAAUUUGUACGAUGUACAAUGCAGGCAAUAUUUCUGCCUCCUAACGCACUAUUCGCUUAAAAGAAGAUGUGGGUAUUGUAUUUAUACCUAGAACAGAUUUAUUAUUAGUUGGCUAGUGUGUUAGUAGGAUAGCCAUUGGUAGUUAUAAAGUAUGAAGUCGUCAGGUAUUAAUAAUAGGAAUUGAUCAAAGCUUAUACAUUUAUUGUGAUAUUUAUAUUGUGAAUUUAAGUAGUUAGUUUUGGUUGUUUAAUAAACGAAUUAAUGUGC